CAGGCGGGGUUACCCGCUGAGUUUAA
rnacentral:rRNA from 1 species